UGGGGAAUAUUGCGCAAUGGGCGGAAGCCUGACGCAGCGACGCCGCGUGGGGGAUGACGGCCUUCGGGUUGUAAACCUCUUUCACCCAUGACGAAGCGAGAGUGACGGUAGUGGGAGAAGAAGCACCGGCCAACUACGUGCCAGCAGCCGCGGUAAUACGUAGGGUGCAAGCGUUGUCCGGAAUUAUUGGGCGUAAAGAGCUCGUAGGCGGUUUGUUGCGUCGGCUGUGAAAUCCCGAGGCUCAACCUCGGGUCUGCAGUCGAUACGAGCAAACUGGAGUGUUGCAGGGGAGACUGGAAUUCCUGGUGUAGCGGUGAAAUGCGCAGAUAUCAGGAGGAACACCGGUGGCGAAGGCGGGUCUCUGGGCAACAACUGACGCUGAGGAGCGAAAGCGUGGGGAGCGAACAGGAUUAGAUACC
rnacentral:rRNA from 1 species